rnacentral:rRNA from 1 species
UAGGGAAUCUUCCGCAAUGGGCGAAAGCCUGACGGAGCAACGCCGCGUGAGUGAUGAAGGUCUUCGGAUCGUAAAACUCUGUUAUUAGGGAAGAACAAAUGUGUAAGUAACUAUGCACGUCUUGACGGUACCUAAUCAGAAAGCCACGGCUAACUACGUGCCAGCAGCCGCGGUAAUACGUAGGUGGCAAGCGUUAUCCGGAAUUAUUGGGCGUAAAGCGCGCGUAGGCGGUUUUUUAAGUCUGAUGUGAAAGCCCACGGCUCAACCGUGGAGGGUCAUUGGAAACUGGAAAACUUGAGUGCAGAAGAGGAAGGUGGAAUUCCAUGUGUAGCGGUGAAAUGCGCAGAGAUAUGGGGGAACACCAGUGGCGAAGGCGACUUUCUGGUCUGUAACUGACGCUGAUGUGCGAAAGCGUGGGGAUCAAACAGG